AAAUUGAAGAGUUUGAUCAUGGCUCAGAUUGAACGCUGGCGGCAGGCCUAACACAUGCAAGUCGAACGGUAACAGGAAGCAGCUUGCUGCUUCGCUGACGAGUGGCGGACGGGUGAGUAAUGUCUGGGAAACUGCCUGAUGGAGGGGGAUAACUACUGGAAACGGUAGCUAAUACCGCAUAACGUCGCAAGACCAAAGAGGGGGACCUUCGGGCCUCUUGCCAUCGGAUGUGCCCAGAUGGGAUUAGCUAGUAGGUGGGGUAACGGCUCACCUAGGCGACGAUCCCUAGCUGGUCUGAGAGGAUGACCAGCCACACUGGAACUGAGACACGGUCCAGACUCCUACGGGAGGCAGCA
rnacentral:rRNA from 1 species